CGAGUCACCAGAUACUAUCAAACAGAUGGGUAACAUCUAACCAUUAUUCCUUCAUCAUUUCGAAUGAAGGACGGACUGUAACACCUGCACAACUGCAACAAUUAUUAGACAUUUUAACCUUCUACUUCAAGCGCAGCUAACUCAUAUUGCGCAAGAUUAUUAUAAAAUAUCUUACAAUUAUAAUGUACUGUAAUGCUCUCAAAUUGUUCUACUCUGUUCCCAGCCCACCAACUACAACAAAUAGAGCUACAAGCAUCUUCAUUAUCACUUUCUAUGAGAUUGUAUGAGAAAAAGGUUUUUUUGAAUGUAGGUGUCAAAAGAAAAAACUGAAGACCAUUUGUGAGUGCUGCCCAGAUAGCACUGUGCAGAUGGCUACUGAUCUAGAAGAGGACUUCCUUCUUUAACUAGAACAAAAAGACCACCAUCCCCUCUAGAGAUACGUAAAUCCUUAUCGAGGUACGUAAUAAGAAGCCACGACCUUGACUGAUUACCCGGAAUGGGAACUUUAAGUGGUGGCUGACCAGAAAUGGUUCUUGAAAUAUUUGACACUACCUCCUGCAAAGGAUUAAGAGAUUGCUGCACAGGAGACAAAUUGAUAUUCUGACCAAAAAGAUCCAAAUUUGCUGGGAGAUCAAUGCUGGACUUAAUCUCUGGAGGUUGCAGGGUGCCUUCCUUGAAUUCAACCUUGAAAUAUUUAAAGUAGACUAGUAAGGUUCUGGAUUUCAUUUAUUCAAUAACAAAGUUAAUACUCAAAAACUGCAGGAUACUCAGAAUGAUUUCCUCCAUCUCAUAUGGCCACAUAAUUUCAACUGAAUUGUUAAAGAAAGUAGAUCUCUUCAUAAGAAUUUCAUGAACUCAGUAAACACUGAAUAAUUUAAAAAACCCAAUACAGAGAAGAGGACUGAAAGCUCAAACAAAACAAAUCUGCCACAAUGCAAUCUUUUCAGAAAUUUAUUACUACAUAUAUUUUCAGAAAUUUACUACUAUUCUUUUUAAUUGUUUCUCAGUUUUCAACACCAACCGCACCACGUUACCAAUACUUAUAAGGAGUACCUGUAUUCUUGAAGGAGUUCGAACUUCAAAUGUGGCAGAUGCACUGAAUGAGAAAGUGGCAAAAGGGCUUGACAAUGUGAUGGAGUUCACAAUGGAGAGAUUGCUGGCAUCAAUUGCUUGGGAUAUACUUUCAGCUUUCAACAAUGGCAUUGUACCAACUGCUAGAAGUGGCAACAACUCAGAGAAUGCAGUAUACAACAAAACCCAGUUGCCAUCGAGGAUCCCAGUUGCAUCCACGGGUGCUUGAAUAGGGUUCACAGCUUCCAACUGAUUAACCAACUCUAAAACUUCGCCCCUAACUUCCGAGCUGGCCUGAAACCCGAAAUUCGUGCCAUAAACCGUAUCAACCAAACACCUUUUCAAGUCCCCUAAUCUAUCAUCCUUUUCCAACACCACGCCUGUACCCUUAGCAGCGCUGCCAUUUUCUAUAGCAACAUACUCCUCCUCCCACUCAUCAUCAUCCUUCGGAGGAUCCGCAUCGGAAUCUUUCGGGUAUUCAGGUUCUGGUUCGGGUUCUAUCUUUUCGCCCCACUCAUCAGUGAUGCUGAUUGGAGUUGGGGUGGGAUUUGCAUUGGGAUCCGGACUGGGUUUUUGAGUCGGUUCAUUAUCUGGUUCGGGUGUGGGUUCUGAGAGGGAGGAGAAUGGGAUUAGGGAUUUUUCAGUUGUGGGGUUUUUGAAUGUGAUAUGAAGGGUUUUAGAGGGAGUUUUGUUGCAGAAGAAGAAGGAUGAUGGGAAAUCUUUAGAGGCAGAGAGAAGAACUGGAUUAUUUAGGCUUGAGGAGAAGAAGACAGAAGAGUGGGAGGAGGAGAAGAGGGCCAUCAUGGAACUUGUGAACGAG
rnacentral:misc_RNA from 1 species